rnacentral:rRNA from 1 species
AUAGAAGUUACUUCGGUACAGUCGGUGACAGGUGGUGCAUGGUUGUCGUCAGCUCGUGUCGUGAGAUGUUGGGUUAAGUCCCGCAACGAGCGCAACCCCUAUUGUUAGUUGCCAUCAUUCAGUUGGGCACUCUAGCGAGACUGCCGGUAAUAAACCGGAGGAAGUGGGGAUGACGUCAAAUCAUCAUGCCCCUUAUGACCUGGGCUACACACGUGCUACAAUGGUUGGUACAACGAGUUGCGAGUCGGUGACGGCGAGCUAAUCUCUUAAAGCCAAUCUCAGUUCGGAUUGUAGGCUGCAACUCGCCUACAUGAAGUCGGAAUCGCUAGUAAUCGCGGAUCAGCACGCCGCGGUGAAUACGUUCCCGGGCCUU